rnacentral:rRNA from 1 species
AUUGAACGCUGGCGGCAGGCCUAACACAUGCAAGUCGAACGAGUGGCGGACGUGUGAGCAAUGUCUGUGAAACUGCCUGAUGGAGGGGGAUAACUACUGGAAACUGUAGCUAAUACCGCAUACUAUCGCCUGUGCCCAGUUGGGAUUAGCUAGUAGGUGGGGUAAAGGCUCACCUAGGCGACGAUCCCUAGCUGGUCUGAGAGGAUGACCAGCCACACUGGAACUGAGACACGGUCCAGACUCCUACGGGAGGCAGCAGUGGGGAAUAUUGAACAAUGGGCGAAAGCCUGAUGCAGCCAUGCCGCGUGUAUGAAGAAGGCCUUCGGGUUGUAAAGUACUUUAAGCGGGGAGGCGUUACCCGCAGAAGAAGCACCGGCUAACUCCGUGCCAGCAGCCGCGGUAAUAC